GGUCAUAGAUUAAGCCAUGCAAGUGUUAGUUCAGGUAACGAAACUGCGAAUAGCUCAUUAAUACGCUCAGAAUCUAUUUGGCGGCGACCAACAGGUCUUAAAUGGAUAGCAGCAGCAACUCUGGUGCUAAUACAUGCGAUUGUUUCUCCAGAUGUGAAUUAUGGAGGAAAAGUUGACCUCAUCAGAGGCACGCCAUUCGACUGAGUGACCUAUCAGCUUGUACUUAGGGUCUUUACCUAGGUAGGCUAUCACGGGUAACGGGCGGUUACCGUCGGACUGCCGGAGAAGGCGCCUGAGAGAUAGCGACUAUAUCCACGGGUAGCAGCAGGCGCGAAACUUUCCCACUCGAGACUUUCGGAGGAGGUAAUGACCAGUUCCAUUGGUGCCUUUUGGUACUGUGGAUAGGGGUACGGUUUUCCACCGUACCGAAACCUAGCAGAGGGCCAGUCUGGUGCCAGCAGCUGCGGUAAUUCCAGCUCUGCGAGUUUGCUCCCAUAUUGUUGCAGUUAAAACGCCCGUAGUCUGAAUUGGCCAGCAAUGGUCGUACGUAUUUUUACGUUCACUGUGAACAAAUCAGGACGCUUAGAGUAUGGCCACAUGAAUGACUCAGCGCAGUAUGAAGUCUUUGUUUUCUUCCGAAAACAAGCUCAAUGAGAGCCAUCGGGGGUAGAUCUAUCUCAUGACGAGUGGUGGAAUACUUUGACUCAUGAGAGAGAAGCUGAGGCGAAGGCGUCUACCUAGAGGGUUUCUGUCGAUCAAGGGCGAGAGUAGGAGUAUCCAACAGGAUUAGAGACCCUGGUAGUUCCUACCUUAAACGAUGCCGACAGGAGUUUGUCAUUUGUUAAUGGCAGAAUCUUGGAGAAAUCAUA
rnacentral:ncRNA from 2 species